GCAAAUCUGGUGCAGUCAUUGAGGAGAUGCACUGCAGUACUUAAUGCAGCUGGUAGCCACACCAGACACCGACUGUUGCUUUUGAUUUUGACCCCCCCCUUUGUUCAGGGACACAUUAUUCCAUUCCUGUUAGUCACAUGUCUGUGGAACUUGUUCAGUUUAUGUUUCAGUUGUUGAAUCUUGUUAUGUUCAUACAAAUAUUUACACAUGUUAAGUUUGCUGAAAAUAAACGCAGUUGACAGUGAGAGGACGUUUCUUUUUUUGCUGAGUUUAGUUCAGAAAUCGAUUUCAUCAUGCAGAAAAAUACAUUAUUAUUGAUAAAAUGUAUGUUCUUAGAUUUUUCAUUGCAGUUCUUUUUCAUUCAUUUUCAUAGGGUAUGCGCUGCCACCCUGACCGCAGGUCACUCGAAAACAUGUGUUUUUGGAUCAUUUUGCAUGUGAUCACAUUUGAAAUAAGUGUUGGAGAGAGUGAGGCAAAUUGUGAUACAUGACAAGGUGUCAUUGUGCACUGGAUUGCUGUUCUUUAGAACAGUCAUAUGAAAGGCAAUCAUUUUUUUCUGAGAACAAGCAAAGAGGGAAAUGUGAAUUUGACCUUUCUCAAUUUUUCCAAUCUUAUCUUGUUUAAUAUAGUUAUUUUACGUAACAUUUAUCUGCAUUCAGAAACAACCUUCAUCCUGCUACAUAAUAAAAAUACAGACAGCUGUUUUGCAUCUCUACUUGCAGGCCUGAUGUACCCUGUAUUAAUGUUACACUAAGCAUAAAAGGUAUUUGUGAGAUCUACUCUACUCUGAUAUCUCACUCGGUGAAGGCCUUGAGGUGAGCCUUGUUCCCUGCUCCUCUUCCUUACUUUUUCUUCUUCAGCUGCCCUCCUCAGGCCACCACUGACCAGACCAGGACCAGCAGACUGCCAACCACCUGGCACAGACCAGACAGCAGAGUCACCACAAGAACUAGCGGUGAAGAGUGAGGAAUAAAGACACCAACCUACAUCUGAUGAUCAGAACGGACCAAAAACCACCCAGCUGAACAAGAUGACCUGGAUGAUCCCAUGAAGGAUGCGACGCGGUAAGGCUGACGCUAAUCCCAAAUGAGGAGGCUACCGAGGACAGAGCCGGCAAUCACCUAUCCAGCACCUGCAGCAGUUCCGGUUCCUUGUUCCCGGUUCCAAGCACCACAUCCAGCAACAAUCCUUGGUCUCCAGUCCCAGUCCAAGCCACAACAUUAGCACCAAUCCUGGACACAGCACCGAACAACCACAAGUAGCAAUUCCUUUUAGCAACCACCAGCCCAGACCUCACCCCUUCCCUUCCCCUCCCAUACAUAAACACACAAACACAUUGUGGACUGAUAGACUAAUGGACUGACUGAACGGACUGACAGAUUUUGCAGAUAGUUUUUGAUUGACUGCUUUUGUUUUGUUUUUGUUUGGAUGACCAUGUGCUUUGCCUAAUUUGAGUUGUUUACUUAUAUUUGUAAUUUUAAAUUAAUAAUGGAAGUUGUUUAACAUUGUAAACUGUAAUGAAUUUUGGAAAAAACUAAUUAAUUGAUUCAGAUUGCAUUCAUGUUAAAACGUUUAAAGCAAGGUAUUCAAUAAAUGUUGAGUCAAUAAAUCAUAAGCGAUCAAUCAGUUAUUAAAUCAAAAAUAGACAAGGGAAAAAAGGCAACAAAAGCAAGCAUAAGGUAUGUGCGUGGUCAAUGUCAAUUAUUUUGGCCAGCAGGUCACUAGUGUACACUGUGUUGAUCAAAGCCUUGAGUAAUGAAUGUAUUUUCAACAAAAUUGUCUGGAAAACCUCAAA